rnacentral:lncRNA from 1 species
AGCGGGGCGGGGCGAGGAGACCCUCCCAGCUCCCGCGGACCCCACACGCACCCCGCCCUGCCCGUGAAUCGGGGCCCCAGAUUCUGGGCCGGCACACCUGUCCUCAGGUGACUCGGGGACAGUGGCGAUCCCAGGCGCAGACCUGCUGCCGAAGAUGUCCUCUGGGAACAGAAUGUCUGGUUGUUUCUGUUUCAUUAUCCUUUGUCUCCCUUCCUGCGAUGUCCUUUGCUUUGCUUUUAUUUCGGCUUAUUUCGGUUUUCAUCCAGCUCUCCAAUCUCUGAUUGUAUCCCGUUAUCAGUAAGGCUAAAAGCACAGCACCAAAGGCGGUGAACCAGGUCACAUCCUCGGCAGCAGUAAGAGCCCUGUGUCCCGUCCUUAUGGUGCUUUGGCCCUGGAGCCAAGGGUCAACUUUGCUCGUUUCCUAAGGCCUUGAACAAGGGGUCAACCUGGCCACCAGGUGAAUGGGGUGCAGAGGCAGGCUGCAGGUGGGAUUCAGGUUGAGCCCACACAUCUCUUACCCAGCCCUGAGAACCCAGAUUCUUCACACUCACCAGGAGUUCGUUUCGGGACCAUAACCCAGCAACAGUCAUGUACCUUUUGGGCAGAGGGACCCACACUCCACUCCCUCCCCUCUGGAGGCCUAAGUGGACUCCUGGAAGCCUGCCCACUUUUGUGGAGACUCGAAGGUCCCUGGAGGCCUGGAGCCACUUCAUCAUCCCCAUGAGGUGCAUGGGCACCCCUAAAGUUCCUGCCAACUCUGGGAAGGAAAAGAGCAGCUCAUCUCUUGGCUCCACUCGACAAACAAGACAAUGGGGCUAGUUGGCGUGUUACCCAUCCAAGCAGAGUUCAGCCCUGUCACGUGGCCCUCAGUCCUGCCACACAGCACUGCUCUACCAGCUGCAGGGCCUCUGUGCCUGGACAGCAGGUACCGUGCAAGGAGCCAGAGCUGAGUGUGAGUGCACGUGCAGCCCUGCUGACCCAGGCUGUAGGCCGGUCCACCUCCACCUCUACGGCUCACCUGGCUGUACCCUCGAGCUCAGCCCACGGCACAGGAGCACACUUUUACCUCGUGGUGAGCCGGGAUGUGGGGAGCAGGCACACUAAAUCCUGCCCACAAUCCACGUUGCUCCUGAAGCCUUCCGCACACCCCAGAAGGGCUGCAGGAGGACUGCUCCCCAGCUGCCUGGCUGCCGCUUCCACCACCCACUAUCCGGUCUGUCACCUGACCUAUCAAAUACUUGGGGUAGGUGGGGCCGGGCCUGUGGGGCCCCAAGAUUCUGAGAGCAAGCAGAACCCAGAGAAGAUCAGGAGGCAAGAGGCCAGGGCCUGCGCAGCUGCUCUGGUGAAAACAAAGGAAAACACAAAACAAAACAAAGUGCUCUGGACUUCACUCUCCUCCCUUUUGACAUCAGAAUUAUAUCCAUCACAGCCAGGAGUGGUGGUGCACAUCAGCUCCGGGGGCUGAGGCAGGAGGAUCAAGAGUUUGAGGUCAGCGUGGGCAACUUAGUGAGACCCCGUCUCAAAAUAGAAAAGGGGAGGGGCCCUGGGGAGGGGGUGUU